GUCCACGCUGUAAACGAUGAUCACUAGAUGUCGGAAGUUCUUACCCUUUCGGUGUCGUAGCCAACGCAUUAAGUGAUCCGCCUGGGGAGUACGGUCGCAAGAUUAAACUCAAAGAAAUUGACGGGGCCCGCACAAGCGGUGGAGUAUGUGGUUUAAUUCGACGCAACGCGAAGAACCUUACCUGGGCUUGACAUCUGGUGCUAUCCGGUGAAAGCCGGAGUUCCCUUACGGGACGCCAAGACAGGUGCUGCAUGGCUGUCGU
rnacentral:rRNA from 1 species